rnacentral:rRNA from 1 species
AACGAACGCUGGCGGCAUGCCUAACACAUGCGAGUCGAACGAGACCUUCGGGUCUAGUGGCGCACGGGUGCGUAACGCGUGGGAACCUGCCCUUAGGUUCGGAAUAACUCCCCGAAAGGGGUGCUAAUACCGGAUAAUGUCUUCGGACCAAAGAUUUAUCGCCUUUGGAUGGGCCCGCGUUGGAUUAGCUAGUUGGUAGGGUAAAAGCCUACCAAGGCGACGAUCCAUAGCUGGUCUGAGAGGAUGAUCAGCCACACUGGGACUGAGACACGGCCCAGACUCCUACGGGAGGCAGCAGUGGGGAAUAUUGGACAAUGGGCGAAAGUCUGAUCCAGCAAUGCCGCGUGAGUGAUGAAGGCCUUAGGGUUGUAAAGCUCUUUUACCCGGGAUGAUAAUGACAGUACCGGGAGAAUAAGCGCCGGCUAACUCCGUG